GCAAGCGUUGUUCGGAUUUACUGGGCGUAAAGGGCGCGUAGGCGGCCUCCGCAAGUCAGUUGUGAAAUCUCCGAGCUUAACUCGGAAAGGUCAACUGAUACUGCGGGGCUAGAGUGCGGAAGGGGCAACUGGAAUUCUUGGUGUAGCGGUGAAAUGCGUAGAUAUCAAGAGGAACACCUGCGGCGAAGGCGGGUUGCUGGGCCGACACUGACGCUGAGGCGCGAAAGCUAGGGGAGCGAACGGG
rnacentral:rRNA from 1 species